rnacentral:rRNA from 1 species
UACAGAGGUCUCAAGCGUUGUUCGGAUUCAUUGGGCGUAAAGGGUGCGUAGGCGGCGCGGUAAGUCGGGUGUGAAAUCUCGGGGCUUAACUCCGAAACUGCAUUCGAUACUGCCGUGAUUGAGGACUGGAGAGGAGACUGGAAUUUACGGUGUAGCGGUGAAAUGCGCAGAUAUCAGGAGGAACACCGGUGGCGAAGGCGGGUCUCUGGGCCGAUACUGACGCUGAGGAGCGAAAGCGUGGGGAGCGAACAGG